AAAAGUCCUAGAUAAAGUGUACUCCUACUUGUUCUUUAACUGAAAGCAUGGAGCACAUAUGAAUCUUUUUUUUUGGCUUGUUGGCAUUGACCACGUCAUGAAAAUAAUGCAAGCCAUCAACGAACUCCUUGGACUGUCAGUCCAUAUUGUACAUCCAUUGUCGGUCCAUCUGCAUCGUAUUAGGUGAAAAAUGUAUAUUAAGUAACUGCUAUAAAUAUAUAACGAAUUAGAGCUCAAAAAAAUUCCCUCACUCUGAAGCAAUCUACCAAAAAAUUACCUCACUCUAAAUAAAUGUACCAAAAUAUUCCCUCUAACUAAAGAAAUCUACCAAAAAAUUCCCUCACUCCAAACCAAUCUACCAAAAAAAUAUAAUUCUUUAAAUUAAAAAAAAAUAAAUUUUCUUUUACCCAGCAUCCAAGAACACUCCAUCCUUAAUUAUUUUAUCCACAUCUAUUUAGUUGCCUAACCCCAUUUUAAUCAAGAUCUUAAACUUAGCAACAUCUAUUUACAUGCAAACUAC
rnacentral:lncRNA from 1 species